GACUUGAGGUUUUAAUUUUCUUCCCUUUUAGUAAUAUUUUCAGUAUGUGUUAUGUGUGUUUAAGUGGGCGUGUGUGUGUGUGUGUGUGUGUAUUUAUAAGAAGAUAGCUCACAGAGGGGUGGCUGUGGUGACUGCUUCCCCAUAGGGCAUGCUUGUCACGUGCCAGGAACUUGCUACAUCCUUUUACAUAACUCAUCUCCAUCAGCUCCCUGAAUCCUUCUAGCCACCCUGGGAGAUAUUUUUAUUUCACCUUUAAAAGAUGUACAGUAAGGGUGAGAACAUCUCGAUGAAAUUUCUGCAGUAAAUAACUCUUGGAUUCAUUUCCCAUGCAAGUGAAAGGACAAAAGGAAGCUAUGUUGAGAUGGUCUCCUCACCUGCAUGCCAAAGCCAGGGUGGGGCUCAGCUACCCACCCCCAGUUUCUCCUUAGGGAAUGGUCUGAUAGAACAAUAAGGUCUAAGAAGGACCUGGAGUUGGAGGAGCACCCCGAUGCUGCUGACCAAAGGCUUCUAGACCCAGGGGUGCUCAGCCCAGGGAAAGCCCUUGCCAUUGCUAUGAGCAGCUGUUGUUGUCAGCCUCUGAGCAGCAUGAAGAGGAGGCACUAUGGCUGGGUUGUGCCCCUGCCCCACAAAUGCGUAUGUUGAAGCCCCGACCACCGGCGUGACUGUAUUUGGAGACAGGCCUUAGGAGGUUAUUAAGGCUAACUGAUGUCAUAAGGAUGAUAACCCUAUCAGGUGCCCUGAUCUGAUAGGGUUAGUAUCCUUAUAAGAAGAGACACUGGAAAGUGCCCUCUCCCUUUUCUUCCUCUCCCUCUUCCUCUCCCUUCUUCUCCCCCUCCUCCU
rnacentral:lncRNA from 13 species